AAUGGCGUAAUGAUGGCCAGGCUGUCUCCACCCGAGACUCAGUGAAAUUGAACUCGCUGUGAAGAUGCAGUGUACCCGCGGCAAGACGGAAAGACCCCGUGAACCUUUACUAUAGCUUGACACUGAACAUUGAGCCUUGAUGUGUAGGAUAGGUGGGAGGCUUUGAAGUGUGGACGCCAGUCUGCAUGGAGCCGACCUUGAAAUACCACCCUUUAAUGUUUGAUGUUCUAACGUGGACCCGUAAUCCGGGUUGCGGACAGUGUCUGGUGGGUAGUUUGACUGGGGCGGUCUCCUCCUAAAGAGUAACGGAGGAGCACGAAGGUUGGCUAAUCCUGGUCGGACAUCAGGAGGUUAGUGCAAUGGCAUAAGCCAGCUUGACUGCGAGCGUGACGGCGCGAGCAGGUGCGAAAGCAGGUCAUAGUGAUCCGGUGGUUCUGAAUGGAAGGGCCAUCGCUCAACGGAUAAAAGGUACUCCGGGGAUAACAGGCUGAUACCGCCCAAGAGUUCAUAUCGACGGCGGUGUUUGGCACCUCGAUGUCGGCUCAUCACAUCCUGGGGCUGAAGUAGGUCCCAAGGGUAUGGCUGUUCGCCAUUUAAAGUGGUACGCGAGCUGGGUUUAGAACGUCGUGAGACAGUUCGGUCCCUAUCUGCCGUGGGCGCUGGAGAACUGAGGGGGGCUGCUCCUAGUACGAGAGGACCGGAGUGGACGCAUCACUGGUGUUCGGGUUGUCAUGCCAAUGGCACUGCCCGGUAGCUAAAUGCGGAAGAGAUAAGUGCUGAAAGCAUCUAAGCACGAAACUUGCCCCGA
rnacentral:rRNA from 2 species